CAAUAGCGUAUAUUAAAGUUGUUGCAGUUAAAAAGCUCGUAGUUGGAUUUCGGAGCCGACCGGGCGGUCUGUUGAGAGACACGCACUGCUCGGUGGCUCUUCCUCUCGGAGGCCCUGGCUGCCCUUAACUGGAGCGGGCAGGGGAUUCGGGACGUUUACUUUGAAAAAAUUAGAGUGUUCAAAGCAGGCCGGUGCUUGGAUACAUUAGCAUGGAAUAAUGGAAUAGGGCUUGGGUCCUAUUUUGUUGGUUUUCGGGACCGAGGUCAUGGUUAAGAGGGACAGUUGGGGGCAUUCGUAUUCAAUUGUCAGAGGUGAAAUUCUUGGAUUUAUGGAAGACGAACAACUGCGAAAGCAUUUGCCAAGGAUGUUUUCAUUAA
rnacentral:rRNA from 1 species